AUGACAAUUUCUCCGGAAUCUCUGUACAUCAUUGAUGAUUUUUGUUGAACCCUUUUCCAUCUGAUGACUGUGGGAAUGUCA